AACAUACUCCCUCCGUCCGAAAAAACUAAAAAACUUGUCCCUCAAAUGGAUGUAUCUAGCACCAAGUUAGUGCUAGAUACAUCCAUUUGAGGAACAAGCUUGGGACAAGUUUUUUCGGACGAAGGGAGUACAAG
rnacentral:pre_miRNA from 1 species